GACGAACGCUGGCGGCGCGCUUAACACAUGCAAGUCGAACGGAAAGGCCUGCUUUCCCUUGUGGAUUGCGGGUACUCGAGUGGCGAACGGGUGAGUAACACGUGAGUGAUCUGCCCCCAACUUGGGUAUAAGCCUGGGAAACUGGGUCUAAUUCCCGAUAGGACUGCAGGGUGGUGCCUGUGGUGGAAAACGAUUUUCUAGUGGUUGGGGAUGAGCUCGCGGCCUAUCAGCUUGUUGGUGGGGUAAUGGCCUACCAAGGCGGCGACGGGUAGCCGGCCUGAGAGGGUGGACGGCCACAUUGGGACUGAGAUACGGCCCAGACUCCUACGGGAGGCAGCAGUAGGGAAUACUGCACAAUGGGCGGAAGCCUGAUGCAGCGACGCCGCGUGGGGGAUGACGGCCUUCGGGUUGUAAACUCCUUUCGACCGCGAGGAAGCCACCUGGUUGGAAGGGUGGUGACGGUAGUGGUAGAAGAAGCACCGGCUAACUACGUG
rnacentral:rRNA from 1 species